GGGCCCGCACAAGCGGUGGAGUAUGUGGUUUAAUUCGAUGCAACGCGAAGAACCUUACCAGGGUUUGACAUCCUGCGAAUCUCUUGGAAACGAGAGAGUGCCUUCGGGAGCGCAGUGACAGGUGGUGCAUGGCUGUCGUCAGCUCGUGUCGUGAGAUGUUGGGUUAAGUCCCGCAACGAGCGCAACCCACGUCUUUAGUUGCCAGCAUUUAGUUGGGCACUCUAGAGAGACCGCCGGUGAUAAACCGGAGGAAGGUGUGGAUGACGUCAAGUCAUCAUGCCCCUUACAUCCUGGGCUACACACGUACUACAAUGCUACGGACAAAGAGCAGCAAGUUCGCGAGGACAAGCAAAUCUCAUAAACCGUGGCUCAGUUCAGAUCGUAGGCUGCAACUCGCCUACGUGAAGCUGGAAUCGCUAGUAAUCGG
rnacentral:rRNA from 1 species